GUAAGGGGUGGAGCUGACUGGUACUAAUAGGCCGAGGGCUUGUCCUCAGUUG
rnacentral:rRNA from 1 species